rnacentral:lncRNA from 1 species
AUUGAAUGUUGUUUAUGGGGUCAGAACAGUGCAAGCAGGAGCGGGAAGAGGGGCCAAUGAAUGAGUUUUGGAUUUAGCAAGUGUGGAACAGGUGCAUGGUGGUUGUGGUAAGUGUUCAUGCAUUAAGCCAAUGCCUUAUUGAACCAAAAUAAGGUGUUUCCUAAGCUAGACAAGCAAGGUGAUCAAUCUGGAGUGAGGAGUCAAACAGCCUUAAAUAGAGAUAGAGCCUAGCAACUGUAAACUCUGGUACUUAUUGGUGAAGGUCACAAUCACAUCACAAAGUAUGGCACUCGUAUAUUAGACGAUAGAAAACUUGUAGUGCUUCAGAUCCGUCCAAAUUGAGUAAUAUGGAAAUUUUGGUAGCACUGAUAAUGGGGAUUUUCCAGAAAAAUUUCUGGGUCAAUCAUGCCUGUCUUGGGGUGGGUCAAUCAUGCCCGUCUGAGUCAAGCAUGGUAAGUCUUAGCCUUCGCUGGAAAAUAGAGGAGUUUAUGCUGGUAGAAACUAUAGGCAAGUAGUAACCAUGAGCCUGUCUAGUGUUGUCAAUGAGUUAUUCAUAUUGUUGUCACAUGAUAUUUUACAUGGCCGAAAUGACAUGUUCUGAGAUUUUGUCUGGAUAUGUUUUAAAUGCUAUUCAUUCAUAAUAGAUAAAUCACUAUUUUGAGUAAGAGUGUCAAUAUGAUACCAUGACCUAGCAGGUGAGGUUUCUGAUGUUGGAUUUAUUAUUAUUACUUUGCUGUAGAAUUUUAUUACUAUGCACUUGUAUUUGUGUUUCCUUUUCAAGAUCCCUGAAUAUCAAAUGUGAUGGUUAUGCUGUUCAUCUGGUCAUCUUCAUGGAUGUUAACAUAAGAUGAGAAACACCCUAAUAAACCCCAACAUAUAUGUUAAUGUUAAGAUGGAAUUUGAAAAUGACUCAGUUUUCCCUUUUCUACCUUGGGAAAGUACUACCUUGGAGAUAUAUUGAUGCAGUAAGACUGUAUUAGCAUUUCCUUUGUUCAAAUUUUACUUUUAUUUUUAUGAUGUCAGACUAGCUUAUGUUUUAUCCUAUUGAUUUUUUGUAGAGCAGGGUUGGCUGUAUAAAAGUAGGAUUCUGGUUUUUUUCUGAUUGAAGGAUAGUUCCCCCCUUCCCCUCUCUUUUGUUUUUUGUGAAGUUCUUCACAUAGAACUUCAGCUUUGGCAGUAAGACCCCCUGACCAAGCUUUCCUUUAGGCUUUCUGCAAGAACCUCAACUUUGAUCAUGAAUCAAAUUUCUUCUUUUCCCAUGCUACUGCCUGCAUAAAUAAUGUUACCUUUCUCUACAUAGAUAGCACUUCCUUCAAGAAAUCAUGCAAGUUAAAUGCUAGCAUUGUAUGCUAUGCACAUACUGGAAUGGAGAUCCUUUUGCAACUAGGUAAUCAGCUUGCACAUUACUAGGUACUGGAACCAGUCAAUAGGGUCUUCAAGUCAACUGUGUGAUGUUUGUGUAUUUGGUGUCAUAAAGUCCUAGCUAGAACAUAAUUGAUCUUUCCAGCUGAGUCAAAGCAUAGUACCUCCCCAUUCCCGACCAUUCGUAUGCCUAAUCUUUGCUGGAGGCCUAGUGUGCAUAAGAGACAAAUGCUGGAUAAGACAUUGCUGAAUAGACAUUGAUUAGAGUGUUUCACAUUGUUCUCUAACAUUUUUUCAUCAAAUGGAAGCCGCUAAAAAGGGAUACACGCAUGCAAGCUCCUCUCUCAUUUUUUGUUUAUUUUGUUUGAAUACUACAGUCCAUUGAGUUCCUAUAUUUCAUGUGAGGUUGAGCUCGUACAUUGCUGUCUUUUAAAAUAUUGCUUUGUGCUGUUCUUAUUUCCAGUAUACUCACUGAAAUCAUCUUUUUGGCAUGGGCAUCUUUUCUCUGGACAGAGUACUUCAUUAUCGUUUUUGGUUAUUCUUCUUCUUUCUCUGGUGAUGGGAAUUGUUCUCAACUACACUAUGUUCUUGUGUACCAUUGUUAACUCUGCUUUAACCACCACUAUAGUUGGUGUCCUCAAGGGGGUCGGUUCAACGGUAUGUAAGGAUUCAAUUUUUCUUUGCAGUUUAAUUACUAUAUCUAUCUAAAGAAAAUCUAAGAGCCUGAAGCCAGUUUUUUUGGACGUCUUUUCUAUGCUUUUCAUAAGAGGUUAGAUAAUUGAUGCACUCAUUUCUUUGCUUCUGUGCAGACCUUUGGUUUCAUAUUGUUAGGAGGAGUGCAAGUGCACGCACUGAACGUUACUGGACUAGUAAUCAAUACAGCUGGUGGUAUAUGGUACUCAUAUGCGAAAUAUCACCAAAAGAAGAGCAAGUUGCCAAAGCUAAUGUCGGAUGUGGAAGCCCAUCGCAAGUGAAAUUCAUGCGGGUGGGUGUCCAGAAGCUGGCUUAAUAACUUAUUUCAUUCUUUGUUUAAAAUUUAGGUGCUUCGUCCAUGAAGUGGGGACUGGAGAGUAACAGGGCAUUCAUUAUACAUGACAUAACGCUAAUUUGAGCUCGAGUGAUUGUAAGCCAAUUUGAUGUUGAAAAGAAGAAAGUGAUCUUGUGGAAAGGAGGGAAAUAUUGAGAACCGUGAGGGAACAAAUUGUCAGAAGAUAUUAGAAUUGAGAAUUGAAUGACAUGUUUUGGAGGCUAGGAAAGUUUAGCAAGUAUUGUAGCCAAACCACUAGUGAAUACACAAUGGCAAAGGUGUGGAAUGGCAGAGAAGUUAGUGGUAAUGAUGCAUUCAAGAUCCGAAGUCUAUUUUCGAUAUGUGUAUUGCUUUAUUUGUUUCUCGUUAUGUGGUUUACAACUGAACUCGACUGGUGCGGUGUAUUCGGGUUUCUUGAAGCAACGGAAACAAAAUGUACAAGAGCCGGAGUCAUUAUUUAUUGUACGGAUGAGUAGGCUUGCUAAUUGGAUCAUAUGAGUCGGGCGGUUUAAAUCAUUUAAUUUGUAACACUUUCGAAUUUUGGAUCCUGAGUUAUUUUUAUAUCAAAUCGAGUUUAUAUUAUAUACGUAAGUAAUCUUUUUAUUGACUGUAUGUAAGCAAAAACGUGAAUUAAAUCAAGCGAAUAUAAGGUGGAUUUUACCAUUAUCGAAAGAGGGCACUUGCUGGACAGACUAAAUUACAGUUUUAGGCAUCAUAGUUUCAAAAUGAUUUAAUGUUGUCCUAUCAAAUGAUAAAUGUACUCCACUAACCAAAGAAAAAUUGACAUUUUAUAAGUACCAGAUACUUCUGGUUUCACCCCAAAUAGUUUGCGGUAAGUUAAUUUGCAUUUGCAUUUGCAUUUGAGCCUGUAAGUAAUCUGAAAGAACUCUUAUUGAAAAAGAAUAAAAUGAUACAAACAACCCAUGCCUUAAUGAUUGCUAGAGUAUAAGCCAAAUAUUAUAAGAAGUUUGAUUUGCUAGUGAGUUUUUAAACAACAAAUAUUUGUAUUUUAAUGAGUUAUAGGGAUCAAUAGUUUCUUACAUAUUAUUAUUGUACUUAUUAAAUAUGUUUCACUACUUGCUAUAUGAAUGUUAUCAUUCUCCACUUCCAUUCAGGACAAUCUUUUUUUUCUAAAAAAAAAAAAAAUCCUUUGAUUUGUGCAUCCACUGAAUGAAAAUCGUGGCUCCGCCACUAGGUCAGUAAACUUUAUUUUGUAGGAUAAAGAUUGACUUAUCUGGUAAAAUGGAUUGGAAUGAUUUUGUUUUCAAUACAAACAUGAUUAUAUGGAAAGAAAUUCGUGUUGCAAAUUUACAUUUCAUUACAUUUCUCACCAUUAAACAUAGGAUUCAUUUUUAUUUUUUUUGCUCAAAAUUUUCCCUAACAAAUGCCUUGUUGCGAUCAAACACUUCAAUAAGCAGCGAGGAAGGAUGCCAAAACCGCAACAAAACCAAGAGUGCUAGAGGCCAGGUGCUUGAAACUUGCAUUUUUGUUUUUGUCAUCAUCAGCAUCUGCAGCUGUGCCUGAGAUGCAGGUGCAUCGCUCUUGGGGGCAUCUGAGGGGGCAUCAGAACUGGGAGCUGUGGCAUCAUCUGACGGAGUCGGUGCCUCCGGGGCCUCGCUAGCUGGGGGUGGAGACACCUUCUUGGCUGGAGCAGGAGCACCAGCUGCCUUGGGUGGUUCUUGAAGAGUGGUGCCAUCAACUCCAGGCGUCAUGAUAGCACUUGAAACACUGAUGAUGGAGUAGUUAAAUGGAUGCUGCGUUACUGUUGCAACAACCUGAACAUUGUGGGAGCACCUUUGGCAGCCGAGGAAAAUAUAAGCUGACCAUGACUUCUGUUUAGAAUCAAGAAGCCUUGAUCGUAAGUUGCCACACCAGUUUUUUGGAACAAGGUUGUCAUUCUUGUCCCAUUUUUUGCGUUUGCGAGCUUGAGGAGAUCAUAGUAGUCAAGAACCACAUGAGUCAUCAAGGUAAUUUUAAUAACAUCAGCCGGUUUACCAGCAAGGUCUCCAAUGUGCUCAUUAGGGAUGGCAAGAAUAGUUACGGGUGAUUGAGAAUUGAUGGCUUUAACCAAACCUGCCUUGCUCAAAAUCAUUGAAGUUACUAAAACUGGGGAUGUCCCCAGGACAGCAGUGAUGUUAAAUGCCGCUGUUGUGGCGGAGGAAGCAAGGAGCAAACAAGACAGGAAGAUCAAGGAGGUGGAGAUCUUGGAGGCACCCAUUUUUGGUAUUCAACGCCAAAGAAUGUGGCUAUGAAACAAAAAGGUUGCUUCUCUGUCUAUGAAACAAAAACGUUGCUUCGUUCUCUCCUUGCACUGAAAGAUGUCUUGCAAGUUAGAGCAUUAUAUAAUAGGGGUGAAAUGGAUUCAAAUGAUAAGAAUUUCGGACUUUAGGGAUGGGAUGAUUCUCUCUUUUCUUCGGGAUUAGGUAGAAUCGAUUGGUUGCGCGUAAAUAAAUAAAAGACAUCACAACGUGCCGUGAAUCUGAAUACAACAUUAUUUGGAAAAAAAAUUGAUUUUAUUAUAAAUACUUUUUUCAACUAUAUUUUUAAUCGUUCCAACUUCAUUUUAAUCUUAUAUACAUUAUAUUAUAAAAGUACUACAAUAGCGUUAUACUGAAAAUUUUUCAAAUAAUCCUCCAUCCAAACACUCUAUUUGAUCUUAAAGUGGCAGGAAUGAUUGGAUCUAAUUGUUUGUUUCUUUUUUUUAAAAAAAAAGAAUUGGUCGACCACAACCCUCAUCAUCGAUACUAAAUUAAAUUAUGAUAGCUAGGAUCACUUUUACCCUAUAAAUGUAAAUAUACUGUCAAAAAACAGUUUUGCAAUAUGAAAUUACAAAAUUUUAUUACAUUUAAUUGAGAAAAAUAUUUAAAUGAGUGAAAAAUCAUUUCUUUCCUUGAGACCACGUUUUCCUCGAACAGUUUGUCACCAUUCAAUAGUCAAAUUAGCCAAAUACUAAUUCUCGGAAUUAGUUGAAACUUUAGCGCUUCCUCGUGGUCUUCAAUUAGCUCACUAACGGGAUAAAUAUCAAUCAUGAAAUCUUCCUCAUAUAUCGUUUAUAGCUGUUUGUUGAUGAAUUGAGACAAUUUUAAGUAUAUGCGCAUUCCAGUGAGAUACCCCAACUAGCAUCUGGAUCAUAGAAACGGUGUAGAUGAAUAUCGAUCAAUGGCAGAAUCUAACAAAUAAAAAGGGAAAAAAGAAAAGACCAUAACCAGAAAGAGGACUAAUUCCAUUUUUCUUACAUCAUAUUAUGUUGAUGUUCCUAUAAUUAUGGUUUGUCUUUCCUUAUUUAGAAAAUACAUUCUAAAUAAAUAGCUUUUGGCAAAAAGUGUACUUUCUAUCUAGCCUCGAUUAUGUCUGAAGAGCCCUCUAGCCCUUUUGUUGGAGAGGAGGGAUUUGUGGUUGAUGACUCUGGGUAAAUGAAAGCUAUAUUUUCUUCUUCUUUUUUCCCCUUAAUUCUUUUAGCAGGGGAAAGGGAAAUUGACAGCAGGACUUCUAAUUUUCAAAACAUUAACCUUAGCCCACUAGACUAAUGAUAUUUCCUUUAGUUAUUGGGCUGAUAGGAAUUUACAAAUUAUGUUGAUUUUUCUGAAUUUCUAAAAUUAUACAUUCAACUGAUAGACCAUUAUCCUUUUUUCUUUCCCAAGCCUUCCGAAUAACAAGUACGGAUGCAAUUGAAUUGAACUAGCUCACAAACAUGGUCAAUAGGUCAACUCAACUUUAUUCUGACCAACUCAAAUCAAGAUCAAGCAGUUUAGUUAAGUGCUUGAGGGCUAGAAACCAAAGAUACUUGCUCUGUGGGCUCAUUGAACCUAGUAAUAUACAUAUUCUUCUUUUGUUUUUAAUAUUUAUUUGAUAAAAUGCCCAAUUUAUUUAUUUGAUAAAAUUUCCAAUUUGUUCCAGCUCAUUUAGGCUGAUUAAAAAAGGAAAAAAAAUAAGUGUCCUCUUGGUUAAAUUAACGUCAAUUGAACAUCAAUAUGAGUAAGAAAACUAGUGGAAGAGAAGACGAAGAUUAUAAUUUUAGUAUAUCUUUUCUUAAACUGUACCGUACAAAUUCCUACAUGACUUGUGGACUUGGAUUUCAAAUAUUUGUAAUUAAGGAUUUCAAUUGUAAUAACUAAUGAAUUUAAGUAAGAACAUGAAGUGCUUUCUGGAAUUUUAAAAAGAUUUUCUUUUUUCUUUUGGUUGUCUCCCCUUCUUAUUAGAACCCAACAUUUUAAUAAUAAAGUUUAAGUUUUAGAAUAAAUCUUACAAUGUAUAAAGUAUCAUCAUUGGAUCCACGACACAUAUGUAGAAGUUGCAUUUCAAAUCUAAAUUCUGCAUAAUUGUCAUUCAUUUAAGACUGACAAUAUAUAUAUAUAUAUAUAUAUACUAUCGGUAUAUAGAAGAUUAAUCCAAAGUUUUAAUGUAGAAGAUUAAUGUCCAUUCUAUAAAAAAUAUAUUUUAUUCGAAAUUAAGUUGACAGCAAUUGAACUUUGAAAAGAAAUUAAUAAAGGUCAACAUGAUUCACGCAUAGUAUAUGUUGUUAUAGUUUAAAAGGACCUUUAAUUGAUUGUUUGAGUAUCAAGUGAAAAAAAUGAUAGAACUCAUGAUCAAUUAAUCAUACUAUAGAAACUUAAUUAUGUGUAUCGCACCAACUUUAAGACAAUAAGAUUAUGCAUACCGAAUAUUGAUUUCAUGUAUACACAAAGUGUAGACACCAAAUUUUUAUCAAUUUUAAUAUUUUCCUCGAUUAUUUUCUAUUUGAUGAGUCAUUUAUUUUCAUGUGUAUUUUUCUUAUAUUUGCAGGUUUAUUUUAGCAAAAGAAAAACAAAAAAAAAAUCAAAAAUAAAAAAUAGAAAAUAAAAAAAAGGGCAUCAUGAUGUCUAGUCAUCAUGAUGUCUCUGGACAUCAUGAUGACUAGACAUCAUGAUCCCAUCUUUUGACCGAGGAGCAACGGAUGGAAAUUGAAGAAAAGGCUCCAAAAUUGCGUGAGGAGUCCCUGGAGCUCCAACGGACAGAAAGAAAAAUGCUCUCCCGAGCUCUUCUCAGAAGCUCUGAACAGACGAAGGAAAAAACUGCAGAGAGGUUCUCAGGAGCUCAGGGGACCGAAAAGAAAAAAACACCCCUCAUUUGCUCCCUCUCUCAGGCCUCGGUGCAGAAGGAAAAUUUGCAGAGAGGCCCCUGAUUCACUCUCGCAUCUCUCCCUCUCUCGGACGAAGGCUACGGACAGAAAACAGAGAGGGAAAGAAAUUUUUGCAGAAGAGAUCCCUAGCUCAAUUUCUCUCGGUGGAGCAAUGGAACAAAAGAAGGGAAGGAAGAAAAUUGCUCCGAGGACCUCGACUGAGGCAGAAGCAGAAAAGAGAAGGAAUUUGCAGCAGAGGUCCCUGGAUCAUCUCCAGAACUCUCUUCCUCUCUCUCGGACUUGUGUAGAAGAAAGGGGCAAGGCCAAUAAAAAUGAUUGGAGCUUGCAAUUUCAUCAAAUUUUAAUCAAGAGACUACAAUCUUCAUUGAGGUAUUUAUUCUUUUAUCUUUUUUCCAACUUUUUCCUUUCUUUAAUUUAUUAAAUUAAAUACAUGAUUUGAUGUUUGUUUGUCCCUUGGCUUCGUUUGUUGUUGUUACUGAUGUUGUUGAAUUUUUGGGGAAUCCAUGAAUAAACAUUAAAAAAAAUGAUUUCUGUGAAUGCAUGAUAAUUGUUUGAAAAAUGUGAAAAAUGAAAAAAAUGAAUUUCAAGGGCUGUUUUGCUUUAUUUUAAUUUUUUUUAUGUUGUUUUCUUGUCAAAUAAAAUCAUACUUAUAUGGUAGGAAUUGUAAGGAGUGUUGUAGUAUAAUUUUUAUGAUUUUUGGUGAAAAUUUGAGUAUUUUAAAAAUAAUAAAAAUCGUGGCUGUUUCUGGCAUUUUGACUAUCUUCGAAUUGUUUUCUGUGCAAACUAAAUCCGGAUUUGGAAUCUACUCGAAAAAUCGAGUGAAAAUGUGUGUUUUAAUAAUUUUUGGUGACCGGAAAAAUUGCCGGCGAUCGGUAACCGGAGGCACCGUCAGCGGUAACCACGGGCACCGACAGAAUGUUGUAGGAAAAGUUGCAGAAGUUGAUUUCCGAAGCUUUGCAUGAUAAUCUGGAAAAUUUGCGGUUCAGCCCCCCGAACUUUUAAAUAAUUACAUUGUGGCCCAAAAGCUUUUGUAAUUGGACCAGUCUUGUCCCUAUUGAGUUUUUUAUUUUCUUUUUCAUAUUUUAACUGCAUUUCAAGUAUGUUGUUUCAUAACCCAUUUCGUUGCUAAUUAUAUUUUAAUAAUUUUGAUAGAUUUAUUAUUUUGAUUGGUUUGAUAAAAUAAUUGGAGUUUUUGGGUUGAGAUUUGUUUGGUUGGGUUUUGGUAUAAAAUUUGGGUCAUUUUAUUGGGUUUUAGAAAUGGGUUUUGGUUUAUUUCUUGUGGGUUUGGGUUGGGCUAAGAAGUCAAAACCCAUGUAUUUAUUUGAGUUGAAUUGAGUGAUAAAAAAGACGGGCUGCCCAUUUCUUUCUUGGAUUUUCAGUUGGGCUGAGAGGGUUUUCGGCCCAAACAAAUAAAUAAAAUGGCCCAGUGGCCCAUUUGGCUGAGAAAUCUGGUUACGAAAUUGCAAAUCAGUCCCUGUACCCUUGAGCAUUUUCUCUAUGGCCCUAAAUAUUUUGAUUUCUUUCAAUCAGAUCCUUCAUAUAAUUGUAAAUAGGUCCCUGAACUUUAUUUUUAUUUAAUUGUGAUCCCAUAUCUUUGUGAUAAUUAUAAUUUGCCCCCAAAACUUUGUUUAUUUUUGCAAUUAGAUCCUUAACAGAUUGGAUUGCUUAAAUAGAAGUUGCUUUUCUUCUAUAAUCAUUGAUUACACUUCAUUUAAGUGUUUCAAUUGAUUGAUUUCAUUUUUAUUUCCAUUUGCUAUGAUUUAUUUGUUAUUUAAAUUGGUGCCUUGAUGAUUUUGUUAAUUUUGGAGGUAAAUAGGGCAAAUCCAAUUUCCCAUUAAUUACUACUUCAAGGGAGGUAUCUUCUUGUAUCAUUUUAAAUCCUCUUAUGUGCUCCAAUGUGUUUUAUGUGCAAUCACAUGUUUCGAGUGUUAUUCUUUUAUUUAUUAUUAUUCUUUUCUUUUUAUUAUUGUGAUUCAUUUUUAAUUUUAUUUAUUUUAUUUUAUUUUAUUCUUGAUUAUUUGAGAAGGCAAUUAAAUGUCACAAUUGUAAUAGUUAGGUAUUUAUUUUAAUUAUUUAUUUUAUUUCCCUUUUAGAUUGUAGUAGGCUUCCCCCCUAAUGUAAUAGUUAGGGCUUGUUUGCUUUAUUUACUUGGUGUGAUUUGCGUGCUUCUUGCUACGUGUUACUGUUUUUCUUAGGAUAUUUGCAUCUAGAUAUUAUGCUUACAUGUUAUGUGUUACGUGCUCUUAUGUGUUUAUUUAUUUUAAUUUAUACUUUAUUUGUUUACUAUGUAUUGUUAAUGCAUAACGUCACCACACUAGUCCAACGCUAGUUGUGGCUUCUCCUUCUAUUUACUUGCUAGUCCAACGCUAGUAAGGAUUUCUAGAAAUGGGCUAGUCCAACGCUAGACCCGUAUAUGGUUCAUGCAUUAGAUUCAUUGUUGUAUGAUAUUUAUUACAUUUUCAUGCAUAUUUUAUUUUUUAGGAUCUUUUCUCAUUUGCAUGAUAUUUUCAAUUAUAUUAUCCUCUACCCCUUACCCUCUACAUAUGUUAAUCAUAUCAUUUAGAAUUGCAUUUCAUUUAAGAAAUUGUGGAAUAAGUUAGUUCAUUCGCUUGUUCAUAUUAGAAUAAUUAUUCUUUGAACAGGAAAAUGGGUUAUUAUGACUUUUUUAGUUUAAAUAUCCCAUUAAUCCCUGUAUGAUAAAAUUAUGUCACGAGUUUUUGUCUCCCGUACCCAUUAUGAUGCAUCCCUAUUCUUUGAUCACUUAUAUCUAUGUAUAGAAUUUAAUUUGCUUCUUCUGUUUAUUUGAUUUCAUCAUUUGCAUAUUCGUGACUCCUUCAAGGUAUUGUUUUGGCCUUCGCAAUUAAUGCGAUUGAUACCAAGUAAACCCUUGAAUGAACAUUUUGUCCCUCUCGAUAUUUCUAUUUGCAUCCAUGUAGAAAACAUCCAAAUGUGAUAAAUUUAAAGGUUAGAUUAAGAAAAUUUUGACUAAACACGCAACUAGCUUAGACUAGGUUGAAAGGGUGCCUUAGGUUUGAGUUGAUUGAACCUUUGCCUUCCCUUUCUUCAACCGUGACUCCCGAACUCAUUUUCUCUUGUUUUCAAAGACCUGGAGUUGUCUAAAAGGGUUUUAUAUAUUUUAUUUUUGUUAAAAAUAUUUUUGGGUGACUUGGUACACCAAAACUCAAUAUCAAGUGGCGACUCCUAAUUUUUCUUAAAAAUCCUUUUCAGACUAAAUUUUGGACCCAAAUCGUCGCAUUUUUUAAGUCCCAUUCUUGGUCCUUUUUCAUUUAUUUUUUUAAUAAAAUCACAUCUUUUUAUAAACUCAUUUUAUUUUCCCAUCGGAAAAAUGAGGCGCGACAGCUUGGCGACUCCACUGGGGACCGCUAGAGAGUCCAAGCACUUGGUUUAGUUGUUCUUUUCUCUUUUUAACCCUUUUAUUUAUCAUAUUUGGAUGUUUUAGGUUGCAUUUUUCUUUUGUUUUGCAUUUCACACUCGUAAUCGUUCCUCGUUUUACGUGUAUGGGAUGAAUGGCUUAUUUAUUUAUUUAUUUAUUCGUAUCACGCUUUGCAUUUGGGUGGGGGAAAAUAUCACCGUAGAGCCUCCAUGCUUGUUUUAAUAAUCCCUCCCUUCAAAAGGAAGCACUUCAUACGUGCAUGCACUACUUUUCACCAUAUUUUUAUUUUUCUCGUGGGCGCCAUCCCACAUCUCCUUGUAGGAUUAGGAUCGAUUUCCUUAGGUAGGCGGAUGGUGUGCUCUGCGCCCAUAGCGAUGCUUAAGGGAUCACUCAAGCCACCGACCGAAGGUUUUAGGAUUGAUGACCCUUAAUUUUUUGGUCUGAAGGCUCGGGGACCUUAAAAUCUAUCGAGUCUAGAUGCAUUAGUGAGCCCAUACCCCAUGCAUCCAUAUUAGAAAUUACCUAAGAUAAGAGUCAACAUAUCCAGUUAGGGACACUAAGCACGAGGGGAGGGAUUUUACCCCUCUUUCUUUGCUUUAUUUACUUUUUAUCCUUGUAUCAUUUAUUGUCACAAUGUGUUAUAUGUUACUUGUUGAACUAACCUCUCCUUGUUUUCCCUUUUUCUGCAUACACAAACUUUAGAAAUAAGAGUUCUAACAUGGUACUCGUUUAAGAUAAGACCGCCUCUUAUAUCAAGCAUGUUUAAAUUUUAGUCAAUUGCAUAUGCAUAUGUAUUGCACAUCAUUUUAGGCUUACCCCGGCAUUUAAAGAGGGCACUUUUAGGUCAUAUUUCAAUUAUUUAAUCGCUUUAAUAAAUUGGCAUCAUGCAUCAACUAUAGAGGGAAUGCCGUAUAGGGAAUCCCGUGUUAGGAAUAAACCACCUUAUGUCUCGGAUAUAUAAUCCAAUGAGACUUGCACGUUUAUUUUUUUUGUACUGUCCAAAGGGGUAGUGCACGAGGUAAGGUAAGAUCCGAUCUUUUCAAAGACGGCAGAGCAAUUUUUUGCACAUUAGAAUAUGAGCAUCUAACAAUCAUCUUUUGGCCAUUUUCAACAUAUGUGGUAAAAAUCCCUUGCUUAAAGGAUAUUGACUUGAAGAAAUUCACAAAUGAUUCCUCAUUGUUGAGACGAUAAAUAUAUUGAGGCCAAAUCUUGAUUUUAGGAGGCUCAUAGACUAAUGCAUCGCAAUGAAUUUUGAAAAUUACCAAUGAGUGGACAAUUCAAUCCAUUUUUGAAUAAAACAUCAAUUUCAAUCAAUUCACUUGAUCAAUUUAUCCUUUUUGGGUGAUCUGAUCGAUUUUUGAAUAAAUCAUUAACUUCAUUUCAUUCAUUUGGCCAAUUCACCCAUUUUUAGGGCCAAUCGAACUGAUUUUGAAUAAAUCAAGUUUCACUCAAUCCAUUUGACCAAUCUACCCUUUUUUAGGGUGAUCCGAUCAAUUUUGAAUAAAUCAAAUUUCAUUCAAUUCAUUUGACCAAUCUACCUAUUUUUAGUGCAAUUCGGUCGAUUUUAAAUAAAUCAUCAAUUCCAUCCUAUCCAUUUGACCCGUUUUUUUUUCCUUUAGGGUCUAAGCCUAAGAUUCAUUGAAUAAAUUAAUCGAGACAAUGCAAUCUCUUUCACACAUCAUUUUAUGUGUUGAUCGAAACAAGCAAUCCAUUCGGACUUUGUCCUCAUUUUUCAAACAAAUGUCUCUUCUCACUCCAAUUGGCCAAGUUUUUCAAAUCAUUUUUUUCAUUCAAUCAAUUGAUCGGAUUCAUCAGGUAUUGUAUGGUGCCUACACUAGAGGAUUGCAUUUUCAUGUUAGGCCUACCCUUGGCAUAAAAGGGCUCCCCCAUAGGACAUGCAUACCGAUUUUGUAGUCUUACCUACUGACUCGGGGUAUUUCUUUUGUUUCCCCCCUCCCCUGCAUUCAUAAAAAUGCUUUAAUAAGGUGAAAAUAUUUUUCUAUGUCUGCUAAAAUUUGAGAACUACAAGUAUUAUUUGAUUCUUGGGCAGAUCCUACAAUGAAAACAUGAAAGAUCCAUCUGAAAGCUUUGGGCUAAAGCCUCUGAGAGACUUUAUAAUUAUUUUUCAAAGGGAACUUUCGUUUAUUUGAUUUGAUUAUACAUUUUGUUCCAAAAGAAAGGGAGACAAAAGCGUAUAUGUGGGGUUUUGUAGAAGUUUUCUCUUCUCAUUUGUAUUAUAAUUCAACAAGAAAUUUUUGUUUUAAACUUUUUCAGCAAUAAAGUUUUAGACAAUUAUUGUUUUGUAUAUAAUCAUGUACAUUUCAUUCUUUCUGUUGCUCAUUGGAGAUUUCAUGAUGAAUUUUAAGAAAUAAGACCAAGUUGAUUUUUCCUCAACCUCUUGCCUGGAAAUUCACAAGAAAUAGUGAUCCAAACUGUACAAUAAGAGUGCCCGGAAUUAAAAGAAGCCACUCAAACUGAGAGGCCAUCCAAAAGGCCCAAUGAGAUACCUUUUCUCCUUCACUAUACAAUCCCUAUUUUGCCUACCACUAUUUGGCCCCUCAAAAAAAAAAAAAAAAAAAAAAAUCAAUCGCAUUGAUUGAUAAAUUGCAAAUUGGGGCAGCCUUGGUUUGAAAAUGUCCAUUGUGUCUAAUCAAAUUCAAUCCACAUCUGAGUGAAAGCAAAAAUGUACAUAUUUCUUAUUUGUUUUGAAAAUUUGGAAUGAUACUUUAGGCUUUUGUUUCUCUAUACAGAUCCUAUCAUUUGUUUUCCCAUUUGAGAUAAAAAAAAAAAAGUACUUCGUUUCAAAUAAGAGCCUCAAUGAUCAUGACCUUACAUGAAAAGAAUUUCCAAAUGUCAAAAGAAAAUGGAUUCUUAAUGAGCUAUUAUUUUCUUGGGUUGUCAUGAAGCGUAAGAAUGAUGUUUUGGCCAUCGUUUCUGUAAUCUAAACACUUUUAUCCCUUGCAUCCUCAUUUGAGCCUAAAUUAGUGGUUCGUUUCAAAAGCACCUAUGAUCGCACCCGACAUUGGGGAAGGAGAUUUCAAAAAAAAAAAAAGAAGGGAGAAAAUGCUACAAGUUGAGGAAAUUUGAUUCUACCAUCAAUAUUUGGGCUUUAAUUUUGACAAAGAAAAAAAAAAAAAGAAAAGGGAAGAGUUUUGUCCGCACAAAUCGCCUAUGUUCCACAGAUAUGGAUGAACAAGGGUCUCACUCAGUCAGUUAAUUCAGAUACAUGCAAGAAAUUUCGCAUUAAUGAAAGUUUCUUUUCAGGGUUAUUGUAAGGAACGGAAUAAAAGUCAGACCCUCUUCUUUUUCAAUCAGACAUUCUAUCCCUAGUUAUCCCUUUUGAGCCUUCAUCAUAAAUUAUUUCGUUUGGCAACCUCUGAGAAUCGCAAACCCCACACUGGGGCAAGUUUGAGUUGAAAAGUUUCAAGAAAUGAAAAGUGAUAAUGCAACAAAAUCAAAAGGAAAAGAGAAAAGAGAACCUCAGUUCAAAAAAUAAAUUGGGGCAAAUUUUGUGAAAAUUCAAAAAAAUGGCAGAAGGCUGAAAAAUCGAAAGAAAAUGAAAGAGAAAAAGCCUCAAUUGAGCACAAGCUCUGGCAAAUUUUGAUUUAACCCUAAAAUAGAGUUGGCACAAUAAUGCGAUCUCAGAUUCUUCAAACCACUUUUGAAAUCCGUUUUCAAGCUUUAACUUUUCUAAGCACCCACCUGACCCCAUUACAAAGCCGAAAGUCCUGACUUCUGUUCUUUGCAAUGGCCUUGUUGAGAAAAUUUCUGAUGCCGAAAAUUUUAGCUGCCUGGGUAUGGGGUUGACGCCACGCGCCCUGUGAAAACCCACCAAGUUGAGGGAAAGGAAAAGAGAGCGAAUGCAAAAGAAAAAUGUAAAAAGAUUUGAUGCUGAAAGUCCCUGGUGAAUGUUGAGAAAAUGCAAACAAAUUCUGAGAUCUUUGAGUUCAGAAUAGGGCAAUUUUGGAAAAAUGCGAUCUUCGGUACAAUGUCCUUGAAAGUCUUAUUCUUUAACUAUCAUUUUCAAGCCACAUUACAAGCUCAUAAAGUCCAUCGCUGACUUAUCCUUCAUGACAACCCAAAGUGAGAUUAUGCUCAUAAGAAAUCCAUCAAUCAUUUUGUAAUCAUAAGGGUAUAACCAGUUUUCACAUGUUUAACUAUCGUUUCUACCCAUACAUUACAAGCCUACAUGUUGACUAAAUUUUCUCAAGAAAUAAGAGUGAUAAACCAUUUGCUUUCACUAAGAUGUGAUAUUGAAUGUGUUGGAUACAAUUUGGAAAAAAAAAAAAAAGAAAAAGAUCCUGAUAUACCAUCUCCGUGAGCCACCUCAAAAUCCUGAAUAAUAUCCAUUUGAUUGGUUCUAAAAGAUGAGCUAACAAGAAGGGGACAUUUUUCCCUCAACACCGAUCCCAAAAUGAGGAAGAGAUCUUUUGCAAUUUGGUCCUAUUUUGAGAGAUUUAUCAUGGAAUCUUCUAUAUGAGUUUGGAUAUGACAUUUAAAUUCUUCAUUUGACAAAUAUGAUUUUUAUUCACAUUGUAUGUGAUUAUUUUGCAACUAAAAUAAGCCCAAAUUGGGGCAAAAUUUUUUGUAAUAUAUCUGUGAGAUUUCACCAAAUAAAUUCAAAUUGAGGCAAAAUUUUAUAAUACAUUUGUAGGAUAUGUCCAAGGUCAAGUAUAUAUUUUUCAAUUUUUUGAUAAGUCAACACUUUGCAUGGAUCUUAAUUGUUAUAUCAUAACUCAAAAAAAAAAAAGGAGAAAAAGGAAAAGAAAAAGAAUUUUGAAGAUUCAAUUGUUUCGAAAAAUCCCUCACUUGUGCAGGUGUUUAUGGUUAACAUCGAGGAAAAGAUACAAGCGAAAAUGUUGCAAAUUUGGAGAGCUAUCAUGAAUAAAAGAGGGCAAUAAUGCUACAUUGCAAAGUGGAGGAUCGGUUAUUUGUUCAAAAAAAAAAAAAAAGUGCAUGAUUCGGCAGCAAAAAACAAAAAAAAACAAAAAAAGAGAGGAAAAGGGAAUGAAAAAGAAAAGAAAGGGGGAAUGAAAAAAAAAGAAGAGAGAAUAAUAAAAAAGGAGGAAAAAAUGGAAAAACAAAAAAAAGAAGAGAAUAAUAAAAAAGGAGGAAAAAAUGGAAAAACAAAAAAAAGAGAGAAUAAAAAAAGGGGGAUUAAAAAAAAAGAGUUUUUCCUUCGAUUUUGCAAAUUUUUGCAAUUGAACUCUGGGAGCAUUUCACUUGGAGAUUACAUUUCUAAGUUGGGACAACACCUUGCCCUUUUAUGCUGAAAUGGAAGUGGUAAUACAUGCCAAGACCGAGAUCCCGUCCUUGCACAUUUUGACAAAGGUUCAGGCAGAAGAAAUCAAAUGGAUCAAGGAGCACAAUGAGUUGCUAUCUCUGAUUGAUGAAAAGAUGUUGAAUGUUUGCCAUGAACAAUGCUAUCAUCAAAUGAUGGUGGCAAUUUCUUUGUUUUUUCUCUCUUGCAGAAAAAUUGCAUGCACAAAUGAAAGCAAUCACACCUCGCACUAGAACCGGUGCCGGAAAGAGUUCUCCAGUGAACAAAGGCAAAUCGAAAAUGUUGCAAGCAAAUUUGAUUAAAAGGUGCAACAACAUGGCGAUACAGAAUCAACUAUGGACUCAAGUUGCAAAAAUUCAUCAUAUUGGGGCAAAUUAAUUUUUUGGAAAGAUUCUCAAGAGUCAAAAAGAAAAGCGAAAAGAAAAGAAAAAUCACCAGACAAAAAUAAAAAAAAAUCAAUCAGAUCAAGUUCAUCACGGCAAGCUCGGGUUUUGAUCCCACUGUCGAUUGUCAAAAGCAUUUCAUUUUCAUUGCUACUGGAGCUGGGUUUGUCCCACCAGUAAGCAUUUCGUUUACAUCGCUACUGGAGCUGGGUUUGUCCCGCCAGUAAGCAUUUCAUUUUCAUCGCUGCUGGAGCUGGGUUUGUCCCGCCAGUAAGCAUGUUCAUUUGCUUCCGCCGCUAGCCGUUGGGUUUGUCCCACUAGUGUGCCUUUCAUUUGCUUUCACCACUAGCCGUUGGGUUUGUCCCACUAGUGUGCCUUUUAAUUGCAUUCGCCGCUAGCCGUUGGGUUUGUCCCACUAGUGUGCCUUUCAUUUGCUUUCACCACUAGCCGUUGGGUUUGUCCCACUAGUGUGCCUUUUAAUUGCAUUCGCCGCUAGCCGUUGGGUUUGUCCCACUAGUGUGCCUUUCAUUUGCAUUCGCCACUAGCCGUUGGGUUUGUCCCACUAGUGUGCCUUUUAAUUGCAUUCGCUGCUAGCCGUUGGGUUUGUCCCACUAGUGUGCCUUUCAUUUGCUUUCACCACUAGCCGUUGGGUUUGUCCCACUAGUGUGCCUUUCAUUUGCAUCCGCCGCUAGCCGUUGGGUUUGUCCCACUAGUGUGCCUUUUAAUUGCAUUCGCCGCUAGCCGUUGGGUUUGUCCCACUAGUAUGCCUUUUAAUUGCAUUCGCCGCUAGCCGUUGGGUUUGUCCCACUAGUGUGCCUUUCAUUUGCUUUCACCACUAGCCGUUGGGUUUGUCCCACUAGUGUGCCUUUCAUUUGCAUCGCCGCUAGCCGUUGGGUUUGUCCCACUAGUGUGCCUUUCAUUUGCAUCCGCCGCUAGCCGUUGGGUUUGUCCCACUAGUGUGCCUUUUAAUUGCAUUCGCCGCUAGCCGUUGGGUUUGUCCCACUAGUGUGCCUUUCAUUUGCAUUCGCCACUAGCCGUUGGGUUUGUCCCACUAGUGUGCCUUUUAAUUGCAUUCGCCGCUAGCCGUUGGGUUUGUCCCACUAGUGUGCCUUUCAUUUGCUUUCACCACUAGCCGUUGGGUUUGUCCCACUAGUGUGCCUUUUAAUUGCAUCCGCCGCUAGCCGUUGGGUUUGUCCCACUAGUGUGCCUUUCAUUUGCAUCCGCCGCUAGCCGUUGGGUUUGUCCCACUAGUGUGCCUUUCAUUUGCUUUCACCACUAGCCGUUGGGUUUGUCCCACUAGUGUGCCUUUUAAUUGCAUUCGCCGCUAGCCGUUGGGUUUGUCCCACUAGUGUGCCUUUCAUUUGCAUUCGCCGCUAGCCGUUGGGUUUGUCCCACUAGUGUGCCUUUUAAUUGCAUUCGCCACUAGCCGUUGGGUUUGUCCCACUAGUGUGCCUUUCAUUUGCAUUCGCCACUAGCCGUUGGGUUUGUCCCACUAGUGUGCCUUUUAAUUGCAUUCGCCGCUAGCCGUUGGGUUUGUCCCACUAGUGUGCCUUUCAUUUGCAUCCGCCGCUAGCCGUUGGGUUUGUCCCACUAGUGUGCCUUUCAUUUGCUUUCACCACUAGCCGUUGGGUUUGUCCCACUAGUGUGCCUUUUAUUCUGUUGCAUCCGCAUCGCUAGCCGUUGGGUUUGUCCCACUAGUGUGCCUUUUAAUUGCAUUCGCCGCUAGCCGUUGGGUUUGUUCCACUAGUGUGCCUUUCAUUUGCUUUCACAGCACUAGCCGUUGGGAUUUGUCCCACUAGUGUGCCUUUCAUUUGCAUCCGCCGCUAGCCGUUGGGUUUGUCCCACUAGUGUGCCUUUUAAUUGCAUUCGCCGCUAGCCGUUGGGUUUGUCCACUAGUGUGCCUUUCAUUUGCAUUCGCACUAGCCGUUGGGUUUGUCCCACUAGUGUGCCUUUUAAUUGCAUUUCGCCGCUAGCCGUUGGGUUUGUCCCACUAGUGUGCCUUUCAUUUGCUUUCACCACUAGCCGUUGGGUUUGUCCCACUAGUGUGCCUUUCAUUUGCAUUCGCCACACUAGUGUGCCUUUUAAUUGCAUUCGCCACUAGCCGUUGGGUUUGUCCCACUAGUGUGCCUUUCAUUUGCAUCCGCCGCUAGCCUUGGGUUUGUCCCACUAGUGUGCCUUUCAUUUGCUUUCACCACUAGCCGUUGGGUUGUCCCACUAGUGUGCCUUUCAGUUGCAUCCGCCGCUAGCCGUUGGGUUUGUCCCACUAGUGUGCACUUUUACUUGCAUUCGCCGCUAGCCGUUGGGUUUGUCCCACUAGUGUGCCUUUCAUUUGCAUUCGCCGCUAGCCGUUGGGUUGUCCCACUAGUGUGCCUUUUAAUUGCAUACGCGCGCUAGCCGUUGGUUUGUCCACUAGUGUGCCUUUCAUUUGCUUUCACCACUAGCCGUUGGGGUUUGUCCCACUAGUGUGCCUUUCAUUUCAUCCGCCGCUAGCCGUGUGGGUUGUCCCACUAGUGUGCCUUUUAAUUGCAUUCGCCGCAGCCGUUGGGUUUGUCCCACUAGUGUGCCUUUUAAUUGCAUUCGCCGCUAGCCGUUGGCUUUGUCCCACUAGUGUGCCUUUCAUUUGUUUUCACACACACUUUUACUUGCAUUCGCCGCUAGCCGUUGGGUUUGUCCCACUAGUGUGCCUUUCAUUUGCAUGCGCCGCUAGCCGUUGGGUUUGUCCCACUAGUGUGCACCAUGAUUUUAAUUUUAUUCGGCCAGUCCCAUGACUUUUAAAUUUUAUUCGGGUCAGUCCCAUGAUUUUAAAUCUUUUGUUCGGGUCAGUCCCAUGUUUAAUUUUAUUCGGGCCAGUCCCAUGACUUUUAAAUUUUAUUCGGCCAGUCCAUGAUUUUAAUUUUGUUCGGGUCAGUCCCAUGAUGUUAAAUCUUAUUCGGGUCAGUCUAAUGAUUUUAAUUUUGUUCGGGUCAGUCCCAAGAUUUAAGCUUUAUUCGGUGUCAGUCCCAUGAUUUUAAGCUUUAUUCGGGUCAGUCCAUGAUUUUUUAAAUUUUGUUCGGGUCAGUCCCAUGAUGUUAAAUCUUAUACGGGUCAGUCCCAUGUUUUAAUCUCUCGUUCGGGUCAGUCCUAUGUUUAAUUUCUCGUUCGAGUAAGUCCCAUGUUUAAUUUCCUGUUCGAGUCAGUCCCAUGUUUAAAUUCUCGAGUCAGUCCCAUGAUAAAUUCUUGCUCGGAUCAGUUCCAUGUUUAAUUUCUCAUUCAGGUCUAUCCACCAAUUUGUUAUUUAAAAAAAAAAAAAAAAUCAUUAAAUCAAGAUCAAAUUUAAAUUCCUGUUGGAGCGUAAUCGCGUCCCUCCGCGCAUCAAUUUAAAUUCCUGUUGGUGAGUCUCAGCGUCCACCGCGUACCCUUCUAUCUCCCCUUCUUGACAAAUUUAAAUUCCUGUUGGAGCGUAAUCGCGUCCUCCGCGCAUCAAUUUAAAUUCCUGUUGGUGAGUCUCAGCGUCCACCGCGCACACCUUCUAUCUCCCCUUCUGACAAUUUAAUUUCCUGUUGGAGCGUAAUCGCGUCCCUUCCGCGCAUCAAUUUAAAUUCCUGUUGUGAGUCUCAGCGUCCACCGCGCACCCUUCUAUCUCCCCUUCUUGACAGAUCAGAAGAAUCAAUUUAAAUUCCUGUUGGUGAGUCUCAGCGUCCACCGCGUACCCUUCUAUCUCCCCUUCUUGACAAAUUUAAAUUCCUGUUGGAGCGUAAUCGCGUCCCUCCGCGCAUCAAUUUAAAUUCCUGUUGGUGAGUCUCAGCGUCCACCGCGCACCCUUCUAUCUCCCCUUCUUGACAGAUCAGAAGAAUCAAUUUAAAUUCCUGUUGUGAGUCUCAGCGUCCACCGCGUACCCUUCUAUCUCCCCUUCUUGACAAAUUUAAUUUUCUGUUGGAGCGUAAUCCGUCCCUCCGCGCAUCAUUUAAAUUCCUGUUGGUGAGUCUCAGCGUCCACCGCGCACCCUUCUAUCUCCCAUUCUUGACAAAUUUAAAUUCUUGUUGGUGAGUCUCAGCGUCCACCGCGCACCCUUCUAUCUCCCUUCUAUCAAUUUAAAUUCCUGUUGGUGAGUCUCAGCGUCCACACGCGCACCCUUCUAUCUCCCAUUCUUGACAAAUUUAAUUUUCUGUUGGACGCGUAAUCGCGUCCCUCCGCAUCAAUUUAAAUUCUUGUUGGUGAGUUUCAGCGUCCACCGCGCACCCUUCUACCUCCCAUUCUUGACAAUUGCAUUUGAUUUCCUGUUGGAGCGUAACCGCGUCCCUCCGCGCAUGUUUUUAUAGUUGUGACAAGUUACUUUUCUUGACUGUUUUGAUUAAUAAUUGUGCUUUCUCAUUCAUUUUGUGUUUCAUGUUUAGAGAUCUAAAAGUUCAAAUUUUUUUGACUUUGCAAAGAUCACAGUUGGUCAAUGCACUGGUUUCAUUGUGGUUCACUUGUAUUUGAACUACGUUUGACCUGAUUCCCGUGGUGGGAUACGUAGGCAACUCUACAAGAGUUCGGUCACGUGUUUUGCAACUUAAUUGCAUCAUUUUGUUCAAUAAUUUCAGCCAAGCGUUGACCUGUUUAUUUAAUUCAGGUGCAGUUAGAAGAAACAGGUAAGCGAUUUGGUGUCUACGUCUUUGUCUUGACUUUCUUCGAAAUUUCAGACAAAGAGGGGCAAGCUGUAGACACCAAAUUUUUAUCAAUUUUAAUAUUUUCCUCGAUUAUUUUCUAUUUGAUGAGUCAUUUAUUUUCAUGUGUAUUUUUCUUAUAUUUGCAGGUUUAUUUUAGCAAAAGAAAAACAAAAAAAAAAUCAAAAAAAAAAUAGAAAAUAAAAAAAAGGGCAUCAUGAUGUCUAGUCAUCAUGAUGUCUCUGGACAUCAUGAUGACUAGACAUCAUGAUCCCAUCUUUUGACCGAGGAGCAACGGAUGGAAAUUGAAGAAAAGGCUCCAAAAUUGCGUGAGGAGUCCCUGGAGCUCCAACGGACAGAAAGAAAAAUGCUCUCCCGAGCUCUUCUCAGAAGCUCUGAACAGACGAAGGAAAAAACUGCAGAGAGGUUCUCAGGAGCUCAGGGGACCGAAAAGAAAAAAACACCCCUCAUUUGCUCCCUCUCUCAGGCCUCGGUGCAGAAGGAAAAUUUGCAGAGAGGCCCCUGAUUCACUCUCGCAUCUCUCCCUCUCUCGGACGAAGGCUACGGACAGAAAACAGAGAGGGAAAGAAAUUUUUGCAGAAGAGAUCCCUAGCUCAAUUUCUCUCGGUGGAGCAAUGGAACAAAAGAAGGGAAGGAAGAAAAUUGCUCCGAGGACCUCGACUGAGGCAGAAGCAGAAAAGAGAAGGAAUUUGCAGCAGAGGUCCCUGGAUCAUCUCCAGAACUCUCUUCCUCUCUCUCGGACUUGUGUAGAAGAAAGGGGCAAGGCCAAUAAAAAUGAUUGGAGCUUGCAAUUUCAUCAAAUUUUAAUCAAGAGACUACAAUCUUCAUUGAGGUAUUUAUUCUUUUAUCUUUUUUCCAACUUUUUCCUUUCUUUAAUUUAUUAAAUUAAAUACAUGAUUUGAUGUUUGUUUGUCCCUUGGCUUCGUUUGUUGUUGUUACUGAUGUUGUUGAAUUUUUGGGGAAUCCAUGAAUAAACAUUAAAAAAAAUGAUUUCUGUGAAUGCAUGAUAAUUGUUUGAAAAAUGUGAAAAAUGAAAAAAAUGAAUUUCAAGGGCUGUUUUGCUUUAUUUUAAUUUUUUUUAUGUUGUUUUCUUGUCAAAUAAAAUCAUACUUAUAUGUAGGAAUUGUAAGGAGUGUUGUAGUAUAAUUUUUAUGAUUUUUGGUGAAAAUUUGAGUAUUUUAAAAAUAAUAAAAAUCGUGGCUGUUUCUGGCAUUUUGACUAUCUUCGAAUUGUUUUCUGUGCAAACUAAAUCCGGAUUUGGAAUCUACUCGAAAAAUCGAGUGAAAAUGUGUGUUUUAAUAAUUUUUGGUGACCGGAAAAAUUGCCGGCGAUCGGUAACCGGAGGCACCGUCAGCGGUAACCACGGGCACCGACAGAAUGUUGUAGGAAAAGUUGCAGAAGUUGAUUUCCGAAGCUUUGCAUGAUAAUCUGGAAAAUUUGCGGUUCAGCCCCCCGAACUUUUAAAUAAUUACAUUGUGGCCCAAAAGCUUUUGUAAUUGGACCAGUCUUGUCCCUAUUGAGUUUUUUAUUUUCUUUUUCAUAUUUUAACUGCAUUUCAAGUAUGUUGUUUCUGUGAUUUGAGGGUGUAAUUAUAUUUUAAUAAUUUUGAUAGAUUUAUUAUUUUGAUUGGGUUUGAUAAAAUAAUUGGAGUUUUUGGGUUGAGAUUUGUUUGGUUGGGUUUUGGUAUAAAAUUUGGGUCAUUUUAUUGGGUUUUAGAAAUGGGUUUUGGUUUAUUUCUUGUGGGUUUGGGUUGGGCUAAGAAGUCAAAACCCAUGUAUUUAUUUGAGUUGAAUUGAGUGAUAAAAAAGACGGGCUGCCCAUUUCUUUCUUGGAUUUUCAGUUGGGCUGAGAGGGUUUUCGGCCCAAACAAAUAAAUAAAAUGGCCCAGUGGCCCAUUUGGCUGAGAAAUCUGGUUACGAAAUUGCAAAUCAGUCCCUGUACCCUUGAGCAUUUUCUCUAUGGCCCUAAAUAUUUUGAUUUCUUUCAAUCAGAUCCUUCAUAUAAUUGUAAAUAGGUCCCUGAACUUUAUUUUUAUUUAAUUGUGAUCCCAUAUCUUUGUGAUAAUUAUAAUUUGCCCCCAAAACUUUGUUUAUUUUUGCAAUUAGAUCCUUAACAGAUUGGAUUGCUUAAAUAGAAGUUGCUUUUCUUCUAUAAUCAUUGAUUACACUUCAUUUAAGUGUUUCAAUUGAUUGAUUUCAUUUUUAUUUCCAUUUGCUAUGAUUUAUUUGUUAUUUAAAUUGGUGCCUUGAUGAUUUUGUUAAUUUUGGAGGUAAAUAGGGCAAAUCCAAUUUCCAUUAAUUACUACUUCAAGGGAGGUAUCUUCUUGUAUCAUUUUAAAUCCUCUUAUGUGCUCCAAUGUGUUUUAUGUGCAAUCACAUGUUUCGAGUGUUAUUCUUUUAUUUAUUAUUAUUCUUUUCUUUUUAUUAUUGUGAUUCAUUUUUAAUUUUAUUUAUUUUAUUUUAUUUUAUUCUUGAUUAUUUGAGAAGGCAAUUAAAUGUCACAAUUGUAAUAGUUAGGUAUUUAUUUUAAUUAUUUAUUUUAUUUCCCUUUUAGAUUGUAGUAGGCUUCCCCCCUAAUGUAAUAGUUAGGGCUUGUUUGCUUUAUUUACUUGGUGUGAUUUGCGUGCUUCUUGCUACGUGUUACUGUUUUUCUUAGGAUAUUUGCAUCUAGAUAUUAUGCUUACAUGUUAUGUGUUACGUGCUCUUAUGUGUUUAUUUAUUUUAAUUUAUACUUUAUUUGUUUACUAUGUAUUGUUAAUGCAUAACGUCACCACACUAGUCCAACGCUAGUUGUGGCUUCUCCUUCUAUUUACUUGCUAGUCCAACGCUAGUAAGGAUUUCUAGAAAUGGGCUAGUCCAACGCUAGACCCGUAUAUGGUUCAUGCAUUAGAUUCAUUGUUGUAUGAUAUUUAUUACAUUUUCAUGCAUAUUUUAUUUUUUAGGAUCUUUUCUCAUUUGCAUGAUAUUUUCAAUUAUAUUAUCCUCUACCCCUUACCCUCUACAUAUGUUAAUCAUAUCAUUUAGAAUUGCAUUUCAUUUAAGAAAUUGUGGAAUAAGUUAGUUCAUUCGCUUGUUCAUAUUAGAAUAAUUAUUCUUUGAACAGGAAAUGGGUUAUUAUGACUUUUUUAGUUUAAAUAUCCCAUUAAUCCCUGUAUGAUAAAAUUAUGUCACGAGUUUUUGUCUCCCGUACCCAUUAUGAUGCAUCCCUAUUCUUUGAUCACUUAUAUCUAUGUAUAGAAUUUAAUUUGCUUCUUCUGUUUAUUUGAUUUCAUCAUUUGCAUAUUCGUGACUCCUUCAAGAUAUUGUUUUGGCCUUCGCAAUUAAUGCGAUUGAUACCAAGUAAACCCUUGAAUGAACAUUUUGUCCCUCUCGAUAUUUCUAUUUGCAUCCAUGUAGAAAACAUCCAAAUGUGAUAAAUUUAAAGGUUAGAUUAAGAAAAUUUUGACUAAACCACGCAACUAGCUUAGACUAGGUUGAAAGGGUGCCUUAGGUUUGAGUUGAUUGAACCUUUGCCUUCCCUUUCUUCAACCGUGACUCCCGAACUCAUUUUCUCUUGUUUUCAAAGACCUGGAGUUGUCUAAAAGGGUUUUA